CUAAGGUGGAUAUGUAUUUCUAUAAAAUGCUCCAUGAAUGCUUUCAGAAUUGCCUGAAAACAGAAUACCUUGACAGCUUUACCACGUUCCUAAUUCACACCUGUCUGCUGGUAAAUUGGCAGCGUGAAUACCAGGGAUGGUCCAGCCUGACAGCAUCCCUGGCUACUAGAAAAUCUGAGGAAUUGUUCCAUCAGGGCUCUGGCACUGUGAGUACUACUACAAACAAACAAAUGAACAAACAAAUAGACACCAACCAACCAAACAACAACAACAAAACAGAAAUAAAAAUAUCCAGUGCAAACUGAGGAACUACCUUGAUAUUUGCAGAGCUGGGCCAUUUAUUUUCAGCUUAGAGUGAAAACUUUCUAUUGCACAAUUUCAAGACAAUGCAAUGGUAAGUUAGAUAAAGUUAAGUAACUUCCUCUGUUUUUAUUUUCACCUCUCUUAACAACACUCUAUGAAAUUAAUUCCUGGUAGCACAAUGAUCACCACCCUCUGGCGUAGGCCCCCAGGAUCCACAGGUGAUGGGUAACAACAUGUUGGGCCUGAGCUCUUCCUCUCUCCCACAAUGUUUCUCCCACUUGAGCCACAGGUAUCCACAGUGCAGUGGGAGAAGGAUGGAGAGGCAGCACUGGGACACGUAUCCCAUAGUUGAGGAUAAUCAGGCAUGGCAAAGUUCACCGUUCCCAUCCAUUAAUUAAUUACUCCUAUAUGCUCUUCUUUCCAGAGGGAGCCAGAGACAAUAAUACGACAUUAUUGUUGACAGUAAGGCCUGUGUUGGGAUAUAUGCAUUGUUGACAGAAGCUGAAAUCUCUGAGGUAUUUUCCAUUGGGAGCCCAGCCCUGUCCCUCCUGGUUUGUUUAUUAUUUGCAGCUCCGCUGCUUCAGUCUCUUGGCCAGCUGGCUUGUGUGCAAAGGGGAUUCCUGGAAGAGCACUGGGAGGCUAGCUCAGGCCCUGGGGGGCCUUUACCAUGUCCCCAAACAUGCACUUGACACUGACAUGCUGAGUGAUUUAGGACCAAACACUUGCCAUCUUUGCCUCUGUUUCCCUCUCUGUGAAGUGCUGAUGGUGGUACAUACUUCGCAGACUGUGUGAGGCUGUGCAGCUGCCAAGCUCCCCACAAGGCAGCAGCUGGCAUCGAUUAGCUGUGGUGUAAAGGCCUCUUACUGAGAAAGGAGAAGGUUGCUCUGUCACUGUGGCACAGGGAAUAUUCUGUCCCUACAUCCAUCUUGAAUGGGCAGUCUUGUAGGCGAAGAGUGAGAAUCAGUUGUGCACUUUGCCUUUCUGUGUUCAGAUACAGCAACAACUUGUAAAUAAGGGGGUAAUCAGCACUUAUCAUCUGAGCUAACAAAAGAUUAAAAUAUCACUUGUACCUUUGCUCUGGAUCCAUUAUCUGACAUUUUACUUCUCUCGCUUAAUGGACAUGUAAUAAAAAGCAAACUAAAAACA
rnacentral:lncRNA from 1 species